rnacentral:rRNA from 1 species
UGGGGAAUUUUGGACAAUGGGCGCAAGCCUGAUCCAGCCAUGCCGAGUGCGGGAAGAAGGCCUUCGGGUUGUAAACCGCUUUUGUCAGGGAAGAAACGCUCUGGGCUAAUACCCUGGGGUAAUGACGGUACCUGAAGAAUAAGCACCGGCUAACUACGUGCCAGCAGCCGCGGUAAUACGUAGGGUGCAAGCGUUAAUCGGAAUUACUGGGCGUAAAGCGUGCGCAGGCGGUUAUGCAAGACAGAUGUGAAAUCCCCGGGCUCAACCUGGGAACUGCAUUUGUGACUGUAUAGCUAGAGUACGGUAGAGGGGGAUGGAAUUCCGCGUGUAGCAGUGAAAUGCGUAGAUAUGCGGAGGAACACCGAUGGCGAAGGCAAUCCCCUGGACCUGUACUGACGCUCAUGCACGAAAGCGUGGGGAGCAAACAGGAUUAGAUACCCGUGUAGUCCCUGAGCGGGCUGGCAAGGCGCAU